GAAGCCAGGCCAAGAAGAAUCCCAGGACUGGAAGGCCUUGUGGGACGUCCCAGGUUUGUCUUGUGUCAAUAGCACUGAUACUCAAUCUCCUACUCCCAUCUGUGAGCAUGCAGACCCUACUUGCCUUCCCACAGCCUCCCUUUUCAUAUUUUUCAUGUUUCUUUAGCUCUGUCUUCAAGCCUUGUUGCUCCCGCAAAAAAACCUGCCUCUUCCUCCAGUCCUCCCAAGCAGGGGGAACAGUCCUGACACCUUUCCAAGCCCUGGUCCAUGGACAUUGUGCCCCCUUCUCCCUGCCCAUGGUGACCUGCUCCAAAACCCUCAAGGAGAAGGGAGUGUAUGUCAUUUCCUCCCUGUAAAGUAAAGAUAAUUUUGCAGGGGACUGUGUGGAUGAAAUGACAUGAUGCAUGGAAAUCCCUUAGCGUGUGCCUGGCAUGUAAACUGCAGGUGUCAUCAUUAUUACUGAGGAAUACUGAGUCCCGAACAUGGCUGUCUCAUUGGUGGACUGGGGUCUCCCCCAGGGCAUUCAUCUACUAUGUGUUUAUUGCACCCUUUUUCCAUGUGAGGCACAUGCCAGGGACUGGGCACAUGGUAUGAACAAGACACAGGUCAUCGGUGUCCUCUUGAGCUCCCUGGCUUGGCAGCAGAUGCAUACCUGGGAAGGAUGCUAGGUCAUCCGGGAACUCUACCUCCUUCAAAUCCCUAAGGACUGUGCUCCCAAUCCGCUUACGCUCAAGGAAGAACUGGUUGUUCACCACGGAGGGAUGCUCCACUGAGGGGGUGAAGCUGUAUGCCUGAAGGGCUGUGUCUACCUAGACGGACAUUCUCUUUCUAAUUGUGACAGAGGCCCUUUAUAGAUUAGCAGUGGCCCUGUGUAUUUCGGGAACUAAAGGGAAAUGGAAAGAUGUUCACAAAAUCUGUCCCACAGGUCAGCCCUAGGUGCAGCUGCAACCUGAGGGACUUGUCCUGGGAUCAGACAUUUUGAGGACUUUCUUGACCCUUGGCUGAUAUCCUUGCAGGCAGGACCUGCAGCUAAGCAAGACGUAGGACUGCAAGCUGGGUUGGCACCCUCCCCCUAGGGAGUUCUCCAGGCCUUGCCCCCUCUGUCCCCAGCCUGGAAGCCCUCCCUGGUACCAUACCCCAGCCGAUGAGUAUGUACCCCCAGAAGUACUUCCGCUCAGAGAAGAAGGAGACGGCAAGCAGGGUGUACAGGGAAGGCCUCCCUCUCCAGGACUCCUUUAGAUUUCCCCAGCAUCCAGACCUCACCUGCCUAAGUGCUGUUGCCCUGGAAGCCACAGUGAGCACGAGCUCCAUCUUGCACCUUUACCAGCCAAUGGGGGUAAAGACAUUAGCUGAAAUACUUCUAAGGGGCCAGGCGUGGUGACUCAUGCUUGUAAUUCCAAGCACUUUGGGAGGCUGAGGCAGGUGGAUCACCUGAAGCCAGGAGUUCAAGAGCAGCCUGGCCAACAUGGCGAAACCCUGUCUCUACUAAAAAUACAAAAUUUAGCCAGGCAUGGUGGCGGGAGCCUGUAAUCUCAGCUCCUAGGGAGGCUGAGCCAGAAGAAUCGCUUAAACCUGGAAGCUGGAGGUUGCAGUGAGCCAAGAUCACACCACCACACUCCAGCCUGGGUGACAGAGCAAGACUCCAUCUCAAAAAGAAAAAAAAGAAAAAAAGGAAAUACUUCUAAGUUAUGUGAGAGAGUACAUACUGACAUUUUCAAUGGGUACAAUAA
rnacentral:lncRNA from 1 species